GUGAGGAAUUUUCCGCAAUGGGCGAAAGCCUGACGGAGCAAUGCCGCGUGAAGGAUGAGGGCCUAUGGGUUGUAAACUUCUUUUCUCAGAAAAGAAUUAUGACGGUAUCUGAGGAAUAAGCAUCGGCUAACUCUGUGCCAGCAGCCGCGGUAAGACAGAGGAUGCAAGCGUUAUCCGGAAUGAUUGGGCGUAAAGCGUCUGUAGGUUGUUUAAAAAGUAUUCUGUCAAAGAUUAGGGCUUAACCCUAGAUAGGCAGAAUAAACUUUUAAGCUAGAGUUUGGUAGAGGCAGAGGGAAUUCCCGGUGGAGCGGUGAAAUGCGUAGAUAUCGGGAGGAACACCAAAGGCGAAGGCACUCUGCUGGGCCAAUACUAACACUGAGAGACGAAAGCGAGGGGAGCAAAUGGGAUUAGAAACCCUUGUAGUCC
rnacentral:rRNA from 1 species